rnacentral:lncRNA from 1 species
AUCGUUUUAUACCAUAUGGUAAUGAAACUACCAGUAUGCUUCACAGCAUCACUUUCAUCUUGUGUUCAUUGUCUAUAUAUAUAUAUAUAUAUAUUGUUGUCCAGUACAAAGAUAACAAAGUUUUGCCCUUUUGGCAUAUUCUUUUUUAAAAUGAUGAGACACUUCCAGAAGAAAAAGACAACUCACUUUGAAUUAAGAUAAUAGAAUAUGACUCCCAUUAUGGGAAUAGCCUCUUUUCAUCCUUCUUGUGAUCUUCUGAUCACAGGGUACAGGGAUGAUGACAGGGGAGGGAAUGCACAGAGAUUGAACUCAUGUGGGAGAAAUACAGCACUCUGUGUCGAAAGACCUUCUCUAAAUAGUGCUCCAGUGUCUCUACAGAGAGCACAGCUCAUUCAGAAUGCAAAUCUAUAUAUCUAUAAUAUCCGUCGGUACAGCCACUUGUCUGAGAACAGAGCAGAAGUGUUUACUUUUUUUUCCUCUACUCUGAGGAGUAAUUUAUAACAACAAUAUUCAUUCUGUCUAAGCAGUCUCUGGCACCAGAGUAUGCAUAUCAGCAAUUGUAAUACAGUCAUUCACUAUUGGCACUUCAGGCCAAUAAAGUUUAUUUCACUUGGAGUGCUGACAUGGCUGUCUGCAAACAAGGCUCUGAGAACUAAGACAGCUGGAAUGUCAUUAAAGAAUAUUGACUCUCUCUCUCUUCUUUUUUAUCUCUUUCCCUUUGGUGGAACUUUAGUGCAUUUAAGAAUACUGGUUGCCUCCCAAAACAUGAAAGCAAAACAGGUCGUUCCCUGUGGGACAGAAUGCCUGGCUCCCUGCUAUUGUGGAUGCAUCGUCUACUUCAAAUUAAUGGGAAAGCACCUCUACAACAUGGAUUAAAAGGAAAGACAGAAAUAGGAUGUAUUAAGAAGAAUGAGAACAAAACACACAAAAAAAGACAUGGAACAAUUGGAUCACGUUCAAAAGGAAAUUUCCAAGAGAACUUAAUGGUGAAAUUAACCUCUUGUAAUAUUUACAGCUAUUAAAUACAGAAGAGAAUAUUAUAUUUGGCUCUAGGAAAUAGAAAAUAAUUAUUACCCAAAUGACAGUUUAUGGAGUAUCCUAGAGUGGGUUCUGUUUCACACAAAGCUGAAGAAGAAUUCUUGAAAAACCUCUAAAGAGUCCCUUUAAUAUUAUACAAUGCAGGGGAAUUAAGACUUAACACAGCUUGAAGACCAGUAUGGACUUGAACUACUUGGAACAAAAAACUGUAUUAUGCUGCCAUAAUUAAAACACAUGCAUAAGAUUUAAGUCAUCAGGCACUGGUAAAAGACUGUGAAGCACAAAAUAUUUAAAUGUUUUAAUGUUAACACCUCAAUGCUGGAAGGAAGGUUCCACUAGGAGAAGUCUCUAUUAAAAUGUUCAACAAGUUUUGUUUUGUUUUGUUUUUCAGGAGUU